UUCACAGUGUUUAUUGGCAUUCUGUCCACCUCCUCCUUCCUCCUCCUCCUCACCAGAUCAUUUAUUCGUUUACAAAAGGAGGGAGGUGGGCAUACUGUCAAUGCAGCCCUGUAAA
rnacentral:pre_miRNA from 1 species